AUCCAACUGACGAGUCCCAAACAGGGCGAAACACGAGUCCUGGAU
rnacentral:hammerhead_ribozyme from 1 species